rnacentral:rRNA from 1 species
UACGUAGGGCGCAAGCGUUAUCCGGAAUUAUUGGGCGUAAAGAGCUCGUAGGCGGUUUGUCGCGUCUGCCGUGAAAGUCCGGGGCUCAACUCUGGAUCUGCGGUGGGUACGGGCAGACUAGAGUGAUGUAGGGGAGACUGGAAUUCCUGGUGUAGCGGUGAAAUGCGCAGAUAUCAGGAGGAACACCGAUGGCGAAGGCAGGUCUCUGGGCAUUAACUGACGCUGAGGAGCGAAAGCAUGGGGAGCGAACAGG